rnacentral:rRNA from 2 species
GGACUACUGGGGUUUCUAAUCCUGUUUGCUCCCCACGCUUUCGUGCCUCAGCGUCAGUGUUGAUCCAGAUGGCCGCCUUCGCCACUGAUGUUCCUCCCGAUCUCUACGCAUUUCACCGCUACACCGGGAAUUCCACCAUCCUCUAUCACACUCUAGCGAGCCAGUAUCCAUCGCCAUUCCCAGGUUGAGCCCGGGGAUUUCACGACAGACUUAACUCACCGCCUACGCACGCUUUACGCCCAGUAAUUCCGAUUAACGCUUGCACCCUUCGUAUUACCGCGGCGGCUGGCAC